CGCUGUGUGGCCCAUUGGUGGGAGACAGACUUGCAUCACAUGGCCAUGGCCUCGUUACAGGAAGUCACAAGUGACACGACAGGAAGACGAGGAAGGGCCAGGCCUGGAAUGAGGGGGCUCAUGGGAAUGCCAGACUCGGUACCAGCAUGCAAUGUGCAAUGCAAAACUGCGACAAACAAUCAGACCAGAGGCAGCUGGAGGCAGAUUUUGCAUAGUAUUGGUGACACUAAAGGGACAGUUGACGUUGGAAGGAAAGGAGACUGGGAGAAUCGCCAGCCCCUGUAGCCGGUCUGCUCGGGCCUUUGUGCUAAGGUCUUCCAUUUCCAGGUAAAGCCUCCUCCCACUACACACAACGCUCACUUCUCCACGUGCCUCCCCUGCUGCCUAAAGGCUUAUGUAACACAGCAUAUAUGUACACUUCUUGUAGAUACAUGUCCGCACGUCCUGGUGUGCAGCCAUUGGUUCCUUUCUAUCUGCACCUCAGAGCAGGGGUGGGGGCAGGAAGGGGCGUGACGAGAGAUGGAGGAGGGCAUGAGAGCGAGGAUGAAAGUUAACUAGGCUGUGUCUAAAACGGCUUACUUGUAUAUAAAUUGAGAACACUGGAUGAGAAAGUUAAGCAGGCAAAAUCUUCUCAUAAUGUAGUGUACUUAAAAUCCCCAGAUAAUAGAUGUACUGUGCAGUCCGUAAGUAUUUGGACACAUUUUUGUGUGUGUUUUGGCUCUGUACUCCAGCACAUUGAAUUAAAUAAAAUGUAUGUAUAAAAAGAGCUGUAAAGGUUGUAAUGUAAGCACAGAGGAAAAACAAAAUUCCAAAUUCAUGCAGACCACCAUAUCCUCAAAAUAUGUGCUUUCUGCUAAACAUAAUGCCAGCUGUCCAACAUGCCCUCCACACUGUUUUCCAACAUACUAUUAAGUAUUGUAGGACCCUGCCUUUUCUGCUCUGAUUGAUUGGACUGUGAUUGGACUCUUUCUCUCUGCGGGACUGCCUGAAAAGUAUGGUUUACUUCCUGAAAUGUCGAAUACACUUUGCAAAACCCCUGGAAAUAUCUAUAUCAACUAAAGAUUUUACGUACACUACAUUUUAAAUACACUACAUUAAAUAUUGCCUUCUUUCUCAUCCAAUGUACUCAUGGUCUGUAUUUAGGAUCACUUCACUAAAAUAUAGACACUAAACAGUGCAGUAUGUUUAGUAAACAGUAUAUAUUUUGAAGACACAAUAGUUUGGACAAGGCCUUCAUUUAUGACCUGCUGGUCCUUUCUCCCAUGACUGGACUGCCAGUAUGCCAAAAACAGGAGGGUUGAGUUGAGGUGAAGUGCCAGUCAGAGGUCUGUGACCUUACACACCUGCAGAGGCUGGUUUCUCCAUUGGCAGUAUUGUGACCUGGACUGUUAGUGUUAACAGGUAAGGUACCGGUGUUCCAAGGUACAGCACAGUAUUAACACAGAAAUGCCUGUGUAUAAAUAUGUAUGUGCCACACAUCUACGUUCUCAAUAAAACUUCGUGGUGAAUUGGCAGGGGAACGCGAAAAGUCUUUCAAAUAGGUUUUUCUGACGUGACUAUAACAGGCCCCACCUACUGCAGUCAUUAAUUAGGCUACGUCAUUAAUCAUUUUCACACGUGAAAAAAAGCCAAGGACGGGCUCACUGGGUGGAAUGAGCUAUUUUUCCAAGCCUGCAGAUGUCACACAAAUCCCUCCCCGCAGAACAAACCCCAGGCUGAUGAGCGGCCUUCAGGACAAGCGUCAGGAGCCAAUAGGGACAAGAACCUGACGAGAGUGGAACACCCAUGCACAGCGGUGACCAUGGUGACAGUGGAACUCUGAGGUCUUUUA